rnacentral:rRNA from 1 species
AGUGAACGCUGGCGGUAGGCCUAACACAUGCAAGUCGAACGGCAGCACAGUAAGAGCUUGCUCUUACGGGUGGCGAGUGGCGGACGGGUGAGGCAUACAUCGGAAUCUACUUUUUCGUGGGGGAUAACGUAGGGAAACUUACGCUAAUACCGCAUACGACCUACGGGUGAAAGCAGGGGAUCUUCGGACCUUGCGCGAUUGAAUGAGCCGAUGUCGGAUUAGCUAGUUGGCGGGGUAAAGGCCCACCAAGGCGACGAUCCGUAGCUGGUCUGAGAGGAUGAUCGGCCACACUGGAACUGAGACACGGUCCAGACUCCUACGGGAGGCAGCAGUGGGGAAUAUUGGACAAUGGGCGCAAGCCUGAUCCAGCCAUACCGCGUGGGUGAAGAAGGCCUUCGGGUUGUAAAGCCCUUUUGUUGGGGAAGAAAAGCAGCAGGUGAAUACCCCGCUGUUCUGACGGUACCCAAAGAAUAAGCACCGGCUAACUUCGUG